rnacentral:rRNA from 1 species
GUACACUCCUGCGGGAGGCAGCAGUGGGGAAUAUUGGACAAUGGGCGCAAGCCUGAUCCAGCCAUGCCGCGUGAGUGAUGAAGGCCCUAGGGUUGUAAAGCUCUUUCACCGGUGAAGAUAAUGACGGUAACCGGAGAAGAAGCCCCGGCUAACUUCGUGCCAGCAGCCGCGGUAAUACGAAGGGGGCUAGCGUUGUUCGGAUUUACUGGGCGUAAAGCGCACGUAGGCGGACUAUUAAGUCAGGGGUGAAAUCCCGGGGCUCAACCCCGGAACUGCCUUUGAUACUGGUAGUCUUGAGUUCGAGAGAGGUGAGUGGAAUUCCGAGUGUAGAGGUGAAAUUCGUAGAUAUUCGGAGGAACACCAGUGGCGAAGGCGGCUCACUGGCUCGAUACUGACGCUGAGGUGCGAAAGCGUGGGGAGCAAACAGGAUUAGAUACCCGUGUAGUCCCAU